AUUUCAUAAGAAACCUCAAAGUGGCUCUAUUGCCUUAUAUUCCAUCCAGAUCCCAAUGCCAUUUUAAUAUCACUGACUAGCUUAUUCGAUACCUUUGGGGCAUCAUCUUCUUCGCUCCAAGAGAAGGCCACUAUCCAUCUGUCAUCGGCUAAUAGCACCAAUACGGGUAGAGUACUUGGCUAGCCUAAUUGCCGAGGAUAAGUCGGCAGAGAUUUCAACGUGGAAUCGGUAGUGAAGCCAGUAAUUGUCAUCGAAUGCUACCCCAGAGCCAAUCCAUAGAGCACUUCGGAAUUCUCUUCUGUAUCAUCACUAAGCACGUUCCCCGUUCACCAAUAUUUACCGUCUCAGCAUUUUCGAAGGGAAAGGAUUGAGUUCCCCAACGUAACGGCGGCAGAGGUGCCUUCCGGUCAAAGCAUAGUUCUUAUCCCUUCUGGUAGCCAAUCGGAAUAAAAGUAAAGCUAUCAAUGACAUUAGCUUUAAAAAUUGGUAACAAUGACGAAAAUGCUAGCUAUAAUCGCUUGCAUGGGGCAAUUCCAAUUAACAAAGCUAAUACAAAGUAGAAAGAGAGAGGUCGCAGAGAAAUUACGAGAGAGAGCACAGCGCAAAGGAAGAAUGCGACAGCAGGGCAAUACCUCACCAAAAAACAAGCUAGCCAUACCAAAGAAGCUAGCAUAGCUAGCGAGACUAAAUGCUUUAGAAAUUGCCUCAAAUAGCCAAGGUCGGUAUAGAGCUUGCCAGCAAAGCAAGCGAACAAAAAAACCUUUUUCUUUUGGAAGGAAUUAACCGAUACUAAUUCUGAUAGGUGUCAUAAUGUAUAGAUUCGUAAACCUAUAGCUAGACACAACUUAAAGAGUCAUCACCAAUCUUUUUUAAAGUGUGAUUGGUCACCUAAUGACUCUAUUCUUUUAAGGAGAUCCUAAGCUUGACUAUGGGUCCCUAAAGAAUAGGUUUUGACCUUUUGAACAAAACUAGGUUCGAUAGUUCAGUUAGAUGUAUGGAAGGUUAUAACACCCCUAAAAUGUCCAUCCUAAAGAUGGUACCAUUUAAUUUUAAAUUAUCCUAAAUUUUUAUAGUUCUAAUGGUCUUAAAUUUACUAUUAGGAAUAACUUUUAAGGUUUUCCAUCAAUCUGAUAAAAUUCUUAAAAAUACUUUCUCACCUCAAGAGCAUUCAAGAAUUAUAUUUGUUUUCUUGAAGAGGCUUCGUUGUCAAAAAAUAUAAUCAUUUAUUUAUUUAUUUGUUAAACUUUUAUUUUAUUGAAAAUAUAUUUAAUUCUUUCACCAUUUGGGCUAAAAUUAAAAAUAUUUUCUCACCUAGAAAUGUCUUAGAUAAUCAUCAAUUUGUGAUUACUAAGAAUUUUAUUCUCAAAAUUUAUUUUUUAUUUUACAAGUUUUAUUUAUUAUUAUUAUUUUUUGGCUUGGAAAUGAAUGCAAUUACUUUUAUUGAAGUUUCCUCUAAAUCAUUCCGCCAUUCAGAUUAAAUUUAAAGAAAUUUCUCAUAUAGAGAUUUAUUAGAAAAUUUACUAUUUAAAAAUUUUAAUAAUCUCAUCAUUGGAUAAUUGUCAAUUCAAUCCCAAAAUUUUAUUAAAAUUAUCUAUGUAUUUUUUUAUAAUUUGAAAAUAACUAUUAAUUAUUGUUAUUGGAACUUACCUAAAUUUUUCUCCAUUUGAGUCAAAUUUAAAAAAUUUCUUCACCUAAAACUUUUCUAUAAAUUAAUCAUUUGUAAUUUCUAAAAAUUUCAUCUUCUGAUAAUUAUAAUUUAUUUUUAAAAUUUUAAUAAAGUAUUAUUUUUAUAUUUUUUAAUGAUUUUUUUAUAAUUUUAAAAAAAGUUUCUAACAAUUUUCCUUAUAUAUAAAACUAAUCAAGCAAAGUGUAUCGCAAAAAAAAAAAAAAGAAAGAAAGAAAAUAAAUAAAAUGAAAAAAAUUUACCACAAAGAAAAUCAUAACUCAGCUUGGUGAAUAGAAGAGGGCUUAGCUACAGGCACAUGAAGUGGCUUACAGCUAAGCUUGGUGACUUACGGCUUGGCUUGGCUCAAAUGGAAAAGGAAACGAAUCAUAGGUUUUUAGCGCUUGAGUCGAGUCAGAAAGAAGGUAACACACGGAUCUAGUCUUUUUAUCCCAGUCAAAAUGACAUUGUUUUAAUAGCAAUAUAAAAGCUCUCUUUUACGUACUUUUUCACUUUUUAGAUUCUUUCCUCUCUCUCUCUCUAAACACUUCUUCACUCUUCUCUCUCUAUAAAGAGUUUACCAAAAAAAUUCAAGAACCAAGAACACGGUCAUCGUGUUCUUCAAAUUUCCAAAAUCCGACGGCACCAUGCUACUAUUGUUGCCACUUACCUGGUCAUCGUCGGUGCCACUCACUACAUUUAUUGGCUUCCAAAGUUUAGUAGCAAGUUCACCUUUAUCUCCUCAUGUUAGAUUUAGGCUUGGAUUUUUACGAAUCUUUUUCAAAAGGCCUGGAUCUAGAGCUAUAAGCUAUGACUUUUUUCACUGUCUCAGCCCAUUUCCACCAUCCAAUCAAAUUGAUUUUUAGAUAUGUUGCUCGUCAUCCUUUAUUCUCCCUUUUUAUUGUUUCGAUUUCCAAACAUCAUCUCCACCAUGGACUGUCACUGGCACUACCACUGUUGGGACAAAUAUUUCUGUAAACUUUAUAAUUUUUGUGUUUUAUGAGAUUGUUAAUGGUGUUUGACUCAUUUUUAUAAUUGCUUCUUCCUGACUUAGGUUUUGAAUUUCUGAUUGUGUCGCCCCUAUUGAUUCUCAAAUUGUGAUUAGUUCUAUUCUGGGAUUGUUGUAUUCUGUUUUUGGAAUCGCUUUAACCUUGAUUGUUUUCCCCUUGAUGAAAUUGAUUCUAUUAGUUUGUGUCGAUGAUUAUGGCAAUGGCAGUAUGUGAAUGGCUUGCUAGUUUUGUUGAUGAAUCUAUUAGUGCUUGGUCUUUCAGUGGUGGCAAUGAAUAAGGUAGAAGGAACUUGUAAUAAAAAUUUAAGGAGAUUAGUUUUGGCUUGAAUUUUGUUUUCUAUGAAUUAUUGUGAUGAUUGCCACCCUGAUAUAGGAAAUGAAUCAUCCUUUGAAUAGAACUCCAAGCUACCAAAUUUUUUGAAUUCUUGUCAUUUGAGUCUUUUCUUUUAUCUCAAUUCAAACUUGAUUUCAUAUCUCUUAACAAGUUUGAUCUCUAUCUAACUUCUAAUUUCCCCUUUGAUUCCAAAUUAACAAACAACCAAUACAUAAAUAAAUAAAUAAAGUAAAAAUAAAAACAUAAAGAGAAAGUAAAAAAUAAAUGAACAUAUAAAAGACCAAAGUAAUAUUAGGUUUAUAAUCCAAAUCAAAUUUAAAGCUCAAUAAAACAAAUAAAGUCCAAAAGGAAAUCAAAAGCCCAUUUCUUGAAUAAUGAUUUGAAAACUCAAAAACUUUAAGACCUCGAACAAAAUAGGAUGUUUACAGUUACCAUUUUUUGUGCAUUUUUUAUGUAACAAGAAUUGUGCAAAAACAUAGAUAACCUAUUACAUCCAGCCAUGGCUUAACAAUAAUUACAAAAUCCUAAAACUUCAAAGAUUUACAAUUUGAAGUAUUCAAAAGCUUCACAAUAAAUAAUUCACAAUGCAAGUUGAAACUCAAAGAUUAUUAAUUUGAGUUCAAAGAAUUACUAUUUCAAAAUUCAAAGGUUUGCAAUUCAAAUAUUCGCAAGGUUCAAAAAUUCGCAAAGCUUUCAAAUUCACAAAAAUUUUCAAUUUUGCAAGAACUUUAUUAUCAAGGAUUUCAUGUUCGUAAGAAUUUUCAAAUUCAUAAAAAUUUUUAGAUUUGUAAGAAUUUGAUUCUCAGGAACUUAGAUUCACAUGAUUUUCAGAUUUACAAAAGCUCAGAUUUGUAAGAUUUUUAGUUUCACAUUUGAGAGAUCCACAUCCAAAGUUCAAUUCAAGAAUUCGCAUCACUAUUGCAAUGCUCACGUCCAACAUUAAAGAUUCACAUUCUAAAAUUCUGAAAAUUCACACCUAAAAGUUCAAACAUUCUUAUUCAAAAACUUUAGAGAUUUACUUCCAAGAUUUUAAAAGUUCUUAUUGAAAAAUUUUAGUAUCUCACAUCCGAUAUUCAUCAUUUAAAAACUUAAGGGUUUCAUCCAAAAUUUCAAAGAUUUGGAUUCAAAAACUUUAGAGAUUCACACAAAAUUUUAAGAUUUUCAUUCGAAAAACUUUAGAAAUUCACGUCUAAAAUUUUAAAAAUUCUCAUUUAAAAAUUCUUAAGGGUUAUGCUCGGAAGUUUUACAAAUUAUUCUUAACAUAAAAAAUGCUCUUUAAAAAAGCUCUACCAUUUUAAAAUUUUAAAUGUUUUCCUCAUAAAACAUUUUUCCAUAUAAGGAUUCACAAUCUUAUCUUAAAAAGCUUUCCUCAAAAAGUUUAAAAUUUCUUUUAAUGAAAAUUCUCAACCUUUCAUCAAAGUUAGCAUGUCAUGAUAAUAAUGCAAUUAUUUUCUUAAUGCAACAAUCUAGAUUCUUACAAUAAUACAGAUGCCAUACUCUAAACCAUGAUUCAAAUAUUCAAUGCAUGAUGCAAAUGAAUGGCCAAACCAAAUUUUUAAAUAUUUGCCAAAUUAUAUACAUGUAUUGUUUAAGCAACAAUGCUAAUGCAAUGCAUGUAAUGCAAAUGUCAAUGUCGUGAAAUUUUAAUUAAUUAUGGUAAUAAAAUUCUCAAGACUCCAUCAUCUCAUAUUUCCUUUUUAACAUCUUAGCAUUAGCCAUUUCAGAAUAAAUUUCGUCAAUUGAUUCACAUUAUUCCCAUCAUCUGAUCACAACUCACAGGUUAUGUCGACCAAUCCAUCAUUACAUUCAUCAUCUUCUCAUCUCAAGUUUCUUCCGUAUUUUCAUUUUCCUUUUGCCCACUAGAUUUCUUUUCAAAUGAAUGUAGGAAUUUUUUAUAAAUAUUAUCAUUCGUUUAUUAUCAUUUCAAUUCAUGACAAAUAUGAUGCAAUCAUACAUUUUUUCAAUUUAUUUUAAAGAUGCAAAAAUGAAAGAAGACAGGGUGAAUUGAAAGAAAUUGUAAUCAACAAAUAAUCAAAGUAUGUCAUUAGGAUAAGUAUUUGAAUAGUAUAACAAUGUCCAAACAAUGAAUAUUCAAAUAUUGUUUAAUAUUAAAUCAAAUUUUUUUUCAAAAACUCAUUCAUUGACUUUUAAAAUCAUUUUGGGCUUAUCAAACUUUGCCCUAACUUUGGAGGAUCUUCAGAUGCAUUGAUCUUCCAUAUUAACUACUCAUGCAAAUCUCAGCUCAAUUUUUUUUUUACCCAAAUCGCUCUUUUGGGUUUUCAAUUAAGUGUUCUUUUUAUCUCUUUUUCUUUUUUUCACAUUUUUCAUUUUUUUUGCUUCAUCCAUUAGUGCUUGGUCUUUCGGUGGUGGCAGUGAAUAAGGUAGAAAGAAAUUGUAACAAAGAUUUGAAGAGAUUGGUUUUGGCUUGAAUUUUGUUUUCUAUGAAUUGUUGUGAUGAUGGUUGAUGAUUGCCGCCCUGAUAUAGAAAAUGAAUCCUCCUUUGAAUAUAACUCCAAACUACCAAAUUUUCUAAAUUCUUAUCAUUUGAGGGUUUCUAUUAUCUCAAUUCUAACUUGAUUUCAUAUCUUUUAACAAGUUUGAUCUCUAUCUAACUUCUAAUGUCCCUUUUGAUUCCAAAUUAACAAACAACCAAUACAUAAAUAAAUAAAGAGAGUAAAAAUAAAAAUAUAAAGAGAAAGUAAAAAAAUAAAAUGAACAUAUAACAAACCAAAGUAAUAUUAGGUUUAUAAUCAAAAUCAAAUUUAAGGCUUAAUAAAACAAAAAAAGUCAAAAAGGAAAUUAAAAGCCCAUUUCUUGAAUAACGAUUUGAAAACUCAAAAACUUCAAAGCGAGACAAAAUAGGGUGCAUACAAUAGGGUCAAGGACAGAGGAAAAGCAAAGAAAGCUAAAGAUUUGGUGCUAGGAACAGAGUUUCAAGCAAGAUGUCCAGUAACAGAUGCUGACAGCAAGCAUUCCAUCGAUCAAAGACCCAUGCUUGGGAAGUCUCUCCUUUCUUUCUCUUACCGGAAAAAGACUUCAAACAAGUAGCUCGUGGAACAUCUCCCACUUGCCCUUUUUUUCUCAAUCAACUAUCUCGGACUACGUCAUGAUCGGUUUACAGCAGAGACAGUCCAAGAUAUUAUGGCGAUUCUAGUAAGCCACAGUGGCCUACAGGAUGUCCAGGCAUGGCACUACAUAAAGAC
rnacentral:lncRNA from 1 species